rnacentral:rRNA from 1 species
AGCGGGAAGCUGGUCGCAAGAUAAGAUAUCCCCAUGAGUUCAGUUCUAGACUAGGACAUUGAUAGGCCGCACGUGUAAGUCCUGUGAGGGAUUUAGCCUAGCGGUACUAAUCGAACCAUUGACUUUUUAUC